UACCAGAAGACAGUGUAAUGGGAUAGGAAUGGAACCUUUCUGCGAUGUGAUGCCAAGUCUCAGAAGAGGCAUCAAUUUGCAUUUCUCCAACAUGGCCAACCGAACAAGCUGGACCAUUAUCAGAGCAGAGAAAAUUCAGGGAAUUACGGCUCAUGCUGGUUGGCCUCCCUGCCUCAAGCUUGAAUUUUGGUGCCACAAGCCAUACCCCACUGUCUUGUGAUAUCCCAGAAGGUCCUGAAAGGGGUAUAUUCCCAUCCAGGAAGUCUCUUUGGGAGCAGGAGCUGCAUCUGAUUACAAAGCCACUUUUUGGACACCAAGAGUGCAGUGUCCUGGCCUCACUAAACACUGGAAUUUGAUUUGGGGGCCGUUCAUGUCCACUAAUCCCUGCUGGUUCUCAAAGUUUCUUGGGAAACAGGGCAGUAUUUUUAGGGAAAUGUAAUGCCCAGAUGCAGGAUCGUUCUUUUUCGGCUUGUAAAUUUUGGUAUUCAAGAGCAAAGCUGAUUAAGGCUGAUUUGCAUUGCACUUUGCAUGGCUAUUGAUCUGAAGAUCAAGUUAAUGAACAGGUUUUUAAGGCCUGGAUAUUUGAACCCCUGGCCCUGUAAAUUUGAUAUGUUAAUCAUUAUUUUCCUUUUAAGUUUUCAUAGUUUUCUGUUGAAAAAAUAAACCCCUGGCAAGUCCUCUGGUUGA